ensembl:lncRNA
GUGCGAUUCAUUGACACAAUCACGAUGACAAGAAAACACCUCACCACACUACACCACCACAUCACACGCAAUACCACACCACAGAACUCCACCACACUAUAAACCACACCACACUACACUACCACAUCACACACAAUACCACAACACAGAACUCCACCACACUGCACUACCACAUCACACACAAUACCACACCACCUCAUCAUACACCACACCCCACUACACUACCACAUCACACACAAUACCACACCACACCACACUACACCACCACAUCACACACAAAACCACACCACAGAACUCCACCACACUACACACCACACCACACUACCACAUCACACACAAUACCACACCACCUCAUCACACACCACACACACACACCACAGCACAAUAUACACCACACCACACCACUACAUCACAAAUCAUAACACAUUACACGACCAUACAAAACCACACCAUGCUGAUUGUGCAACAUAUAUAAAAAUGUCUAAAAUAUAUACACUCUUUCUGGUGUGUUAGAUGUUGAUGAGUGUGCACGGUCUCCAAGUCCGUGUGGGUAUCAGUGUCGAAAUGUGCCUGGUAGUUUCCGGUGUCUGUGUCCCCCGGGAACUGUCCUGCUGGUGGACGGCCGCUCAUGUGCUGGAGUUGAGAGAGGAAGUGUGUUCAAUAAUCGAACUUGGGUUCGAGUUGGACUUCAGCCUCAGUUGGUGUCGACAAGGGGUCAAACACUAACGCUGCUACAGAACACACAGCUGGGGGCACCGAGGAACAAAUUGCACAUUUGCCCACCUGGUUAUGCAAUUAAAGCCAGUAGCUGUGUGGACGUUGAUGAGUGUGUGCUCAGGAAGCCAUGCCAACACGACUGCCGGAAUUCAGUAGGAAGUUUUCAAUGUUUUUGCCCUUCAGGAUAUCAGCUGAUGCCCAAUGGUCAAACAUGCAGAGAUAUUGAUGAAUGCAUUGAGCAUAGUGUGCAGUGUGGACCAAACCAAAUGUGCUUUAACACAAGGGGGAGUUACCAGUGUUUGGACACUCCAUGUCCUGUCAGCUAUCACAGAGGAGGAAGUCCAGGACCACAGCGGGUUGGCCUGCAGGACCGUGACCCUGAAUGAGUCCCAUCCAUGCCCCAUAAAGUGUUGGACCAGGUGAUGAGGUAAACUGCAUUUUUAGUAUGUACGGUGCCCGAUCGGUGAGUGCAGAAGACUUCCUUUGUGGUCCUGUUUAGGACGUAUUCUUUUUGGUAAAAAUAUUGCCCGUGAUGCUUGGGUUUAACGUAGUGGAGGGCCCAGAGUUUAGCUCUGAUUAGAUAGUCCUGCAGAUUUUUGUUCUUCUGGAACACUGCAAUGACUUUGUGGUUUUUGAAAAUUUGCGUCUGUCCCAACAGGUUUUGGAAGUGUGAUCUGACCUCCCUGGUCAAUUUCACCGCGGCUGACGAGUACGUCAGGAUGAAGGGCAUGACGGUGCCCUCCGUCUGGGUCCCUUUGGUCAGGUACGAUUUCAAAAUUUUUCUAAGAAAUGACCUGUUGUAUUCUCUCGGCUUGAGUGCUUUAAAGAGGAUUUGUGUCGCUUCUCUGAAGUCCCGUUCCUGGGUGCAUAUGUGGCUGAACCUCAGGAGUUGCGACUUGACUAGGCCGGAAUAGGUGUGCUUGGGGUGAAAGCUCCUUUUAUGUAAUAGGGCAUGCGUGUCAGUCUCCUUGAAGAAGACUUUAAUGUCCUGAUUGUGUGACGAACCGAAAGCCGGACCCUUGUAAGUGGUGGUGUCCAGGAAGUCUACCGACUCAUGACUAAUGGUGGAUUUGAGUGUUAUCGACGGAUUGUGGUUGUUUAGCCAGGCCUCGAAUUCCCUGAACUCCUCCUCGGAGUGGGUCCACACUCCCCAGAUAUCAUCCAGAUAUCUGAAGUAGUGAAGGGGCCGUCUGUGGCAUCCGCCCAAGGCCGAAGCCUCCCACUCUGCCAUGAAAAUGUUGGCGUAGGCUGGGGCGAACUUCUUGCCCAUCGCCGUGAAUUUUACUUGCAGGAAAAAUUCCCUGAACUCAAAGUAAUUUCUGUUUAAAUUAAUGUCCAAAAGUCGGAUGAGUUCGUUGUCAGGCCUGGAGGCGUUAGUUAUUGCCUGUAUUCCCUCUCGGAUGUCAAUGUUUGUGUAUAAGCUGUCUAUAUUCAUGGUGAAGAGGAUGGCUUCUGGCGGGAUUUUUAGUCCUUUCACCUUGUGUAUGAAAUCGUACGUAUCUUUAAUGUAACUAGGGUGGCCGAUAGAUAGGGGAUUCAGAUAAUAAUCCAAAAAUUCGCUCGUGUAGUAGGUCUCGCUGCCACAGUCUGAUACUAUGGGUCUUCCUGGGGGAAUUUCAUAGGGCCUGCUCCAUUUUGCUCGGUCCUUAUGUAUUUUUGGGAGCAUGUAGAACCUCCUGCUUUUCGGUUCUACAUUCCCCAGCAGGUAGGAUUUUUGUUUCGCGUUGUUGUAUUUUUUUUGUGUAAAGACUUUAGGCUAUUUCUUUUACCAUUGGUAUGGUGUCUAGGUAGAUUUGUUUUUUCAAUUUCCUAUAAUAUUUAGGGUCAUUUAAUUGUUUGUACCCCUCCCAUAGAUAUUGCUCCCGGUCCAUAAUCACUAUGGCACUCCCUUUGUCUGCCGGUUUUAUAAUAAUCUGUUUGUUGUUCUGCAGUUCCUUGAGAGCAUCUAUCUCCCCUGGAGAGAGGUUCGGUUCUUCCCGGGGUGGUCUAAAAUGAUUUAAAAAAAGUUUUAGGUCCGUCUCGAAUAACUUGUGGAGUUCUGCAGGUAGUUUGUCCGUCGGCGGGGUCCAAUCCGAUUUGGGUGUGAACGGAGGGGGUUCUUUCUGUGUGUCAUUAUGGAAAUAAGCUGCUAAUUUGAGUCUCCUGUGGUAUUGUUGUUGGUCGAAUCGUGUUUGUAUUACCUGUUGCUUCCUACCUGUUGUGCCUGAUGGAAUGAAUGUUAGACCUUUAUUGAGAAGGCUAAGUUGAAGGGGAGUGAUGUGGAAUUUUUAGAUAGGACGAUGACAUUUCUAUUCCCCUCCUGUACAUGCAGGCUUGUGGGGAGAUUUAUUUUAAAUAUCGCAGCCAGUGCUGGAGCAUGCUACAGGCUGUGUCCGCCGUCCAAUGGAUUAGGUCCUCUUUGGUUUGAAAUUCCCAGCUGGGUAGGGCUGGAAUGUGUUUAAGGUUUUUGGUGAUGUAGGCGUUAAGGGUAUCCAAAUGUGUUCACUCGUUGGGUGGGAGCUCAGGAGAAAAAUUCACCACCGGCACCCAGAUUUCCGCCCGAGGGAAUUUUUCUUUGGCCGUUCUCAAGAGGCCCUGCAGUCCCUUGAUGGCAGUUUCACUGACGUUGUUUGAUCUGCCAUUGAUGCCCAACGACAAGAUCACGUGUUCUGUGUCAGUAGAGGCUGUGUUUUUGUAGAGUAUCUGUUUCACAUGCGCAAACUUAGCCCCUGGAUAGCUCUCUAUCUGUAGAUCGGGGUUCUUGAAAGAUGGCAUUCUGGACAAAUUGGAGUCACUGAAAAUGUGGAAUUUUCUCCGGGCUGUCAGUGUCCAGUGAGACUUUCUUUUGGUCGCUAUGUGUCUGUUAGGCCUGUCUUCCCGCAUGUCACAGUGCACUCUGGGAGACGCACCGGGCCGUAAGCAUAAGAGGGCCUGUGUGGCUGUCUUGAGGCUAGUAAUUUUGUUGGGGCUCGAAGUCACCUCUCGUGAGGCGACCUUCUCUCGUUCGCACUCCCCUGGGUCCUCGAAGCAGAUGAGGUCAUCCUCCUCCUGUCUGACACAGGGGUUAGGACGCCGCCGAGGACUGCGUUGUACUUUUGGGGAGGACAGGAGAUGAAGGGAAGUGUCUGAAUUGCUGUCUAGGUCCUCCUCUCUAACGGGGGACCAAUCGUGCAGCGGGUCAGUCAUAGUGGACACCGUAGUGGACCUUACAGGCAGAGAUUGUAAUUCCGUCUCUGUGUGUAACAGUGCCUGCACUGUGACCGCUCUAGCCAGUGUGUUUUGUGGUUAGGGAGGAGUAGGAGAGGGAUUCUGGGUCUCAGUUUCCUCUCCCCUCUGACCUGGAUCGGUGGGAGGAAGCACUGUUUGCCAUGUCUCUCCCACCAGCCCGUGAGCCUCAUGCACAGUUUUGUCCUUAAGUCUUUUGCCAAUAUCCCAUUUUUCCCACACGAUGGCAGUGUUGAAGCAUUCUUCCCAAUCCUUGGAGGAAAGGUGCUGCAGCUUGGCCAUUUCAUCCCCCAAUGCAUCUUCGUAGUGGAUUUUAAGAAUCAGCAUUGUGGUGUAUGCCCAAUUUUUUGCAUUGCCCUCAAUGAGGGAGUGUGUCGUGGCGUUUGGCAAUGCAGGUUUGAUGAUCUCUGACAGGUGUCUUUCAAUUUUGCUGAUAGAUGGAGGCUGUUCAUGGCUAAUGUUGUUUUUGUCUUGUAUUAAUUUAAUAAUUUUAAAAAGGAGACGGGUCUUGGUGACAAAGUCAGGGCCAUCCGAGUGCUUGGGCUUCGUGUCAGGUUUGGGACGUGUGUUUUUGUCUUUAGAAUACGAGUGCGCCAUACGCACUCCGUUCGGUUCCCAGUGGCGUGAUUGCUUCGUAAAGGCUUUUAGCCGAGACCUAAACGUUACGGGUCCUGAGAGGGCCCGGGUUUCAAAAAAUUGCAGUCUGCCAGACCGUUGCUGGAAUUCACCGUGGUGAGUCGGUGCUACUCUCCUGUGGCCACCGUAUUUGACCAUGUCCGCAUAGGAGAGCAUUCCCUCUCCCUGUGCAUAAUGUGGGGCUCGGCAGCCACCGUAUUUGACUGCGUUCCCAUAGAAGGGUGCUUUCUCUGCCCGUGCAUGCUGUACGGGGUCGUGACAAGUAUGGGGCAUGGGCCAAACAUUGCCCUGGACGGUACGUUUGCGUCCGCGUGUGACGACUGUCCAGUUGUCCCUUUCUGGCCAAACCAUGUUUUGGUAAUUUUCUUUCAAUUGUAAUGAUUCAGAAGGUUUG